ACUUGCUAAAUUCAUAAAACAUCAUCUUGUCCCCAGCAAGUAACAUUUGAUAUUACAUCUAAGGCCCAGAGCAGAGAUGUUUGCCAGAAUCCCAUCAAAUGAAAUUUCUAAAAAUACUGACUAGCAUGUUCUCCCUCAAAGGCUCUCAGUGGCCCUUUAAGAAGGACCGGAGGAGGAGAAGUCCCCUGCUAUCUAUUUUCUUUGGCACCGCAGCUCUUUUCUGAACGCUUUUCAUUUGAUUCCUUGCCUCUGCUUUUUUUUUUUUUCCUUUUCCCCCCUCAUCUCUCUGCUUCUUUUCCAACGCCUGCUCAUGAUGUCAAUUUAAUUCAAUCUAAAGGACAUAAAGCGGAGCAGCAUCUUUUAAUGUCUUUUUGGAAAGGCACUUGUAACACAUUAAAUUUACUUUCACCUUUUCAGCUGAGAUUUUAAGGGGCGAGAAAGAAAGAUCAAUUAUUUGCCGAAUUUGAAGUUUCAUUAAAAUCACUUUUCUCUGCCUGUGUCCUUGCGUCGUUUUAAGUGGGCCAUCUGUCUAAACAUCUCUCAGGGUUCUUUUUCCUUUUUUUUCUGAUCAUUUCCUCGCCUUAUUCAUGAACCCUAGGAGUCCAGCUUUGUAGUAGUGUUGGAGCUGGAGCAGCCUCCCCCCGCUGAAUACAGCUCUGGGCCUCAGCCUGCGCAAGACUUUCCCCCCCCUCUGCCCAGUAAGGCACCCCCACCCACACCCCCUUCACCGCAAACUCUCCCAAAUAGCCUCCCCUUUCCUUUUGCGUCCCUUCAUAAGGGCCCGCAGAGUGUCUGAACUUGCUACACGUAAAAUGACCCGCCUCAUUGUGGCCGGUUCUCCUCGCCCUCCGUCUCCCUCGCUCUCUUCGCCUCUCUCCGACCCACCUACUGUUUCAGAUCCCCCUGUCUUUUCCCUCCUUCCCUGCUUCUCCUACUUAUUGCAGAUUUGUAUGCAGGCUGUGACCUAGGUGGCUACAAAGCACGGCAGAUUAUUCUUGAUCAUUCCUCUGCCCCCCAUGAAGCCAGUUAUGAGAAAAGAUCCCUUAAUGAUGCUCUGACUAUUAACAGUGUUUUAUGUCCAAAUGUCUGCCCCAUUCUCCUAACAAACUGGUACAAUAUAGACACAAGGAACUUGAGGAGUGACUAGACAUACAUAGACCUUUGUGAUUAAGCUUGUAAUUGGUUAUCAGAGGCUUCACACUGAAUAAAGCAUUCACUGAUGAUGCACUUUUGGAUUCUUUGACCAAAAGGUCAGAAGCCAAAUAAAUAACAUAUAUAAAGGAUUUCUGCAUUUGUGCUCUGCUACAGACAUAUGAAAGACUGAGAUUAGACCCGACUGCUGUCUCCUGUCACUGUGCCAGUAUUGUGUCUGUAGUGGGUCCAUCCAGGCCCCCACAUCUCCCAUCUCAUCCCGGGCUCAUCCCUCUGUCUGUAGGAAGACAAGUCGCAGCGCCAGUCUGGCUCCCAGCCAGUGUGGAAGCUCUGGCUCCUCCAGAGUUACUCUAUCCCUCCUGGCUCUCCUUGCCUGUUUGGUCCAUUUCAGUGGAUGUGCCAUGUCUUGCUGUGAAAGAGCGUUACGCAGCCCACAAGUGACCCACAAGUGCCCAAACUGAAUACAGUGUGCUAAUAGCUGUGAGAAGACACCCUGGGAGCAACCAUGAAAUAUGUGCAAGGACCCGUGACCACUGAGAUAAUAGCCCCUGACCAGACCACGGAUUGUCUGUCCACUCUCUCCUCCGCCGCUCUCCCGCUCAGGUUUGGAGUGGCUCGGGUCCAGGACAGAUGGUUUCCAGACGAGCCACUAAACACAAGCCACAGCAGGGCCGGUGCUGGCUAUUUCCUAGCAGGGAGUUUUGUUUGUGGGAGCUUUUUGUGUUCAUCUGCCGAACCACAUCCAGGGCAGAAAGAAGAGAAGAUGGGGGCAGCUCUAAUUAAAGCCCAAGGAAGAGUGUCAUCUGCUGUGAACUCACAACCGGGGGGGUACAGCAAAUCAAUGGACAGCCAGCUCUGUCAUCACCAUCAACAGCUCCCGAUCAGAGCAAUUGGAGGGGAACAAAAAGGAGCGAGAAAGACACUACCGGGGAAGCUUCUACCACCUGUGCCGAGCCUAAGAGUGCCGAGGGGGAGAGAAAGAGGGAGACGGGCACAGAGAUCCAUGAAAAACACAGACCGAAAUUGUGACGCCACGGUUCAAUCUAUUGUGAAACACUGGAGAUUUAUCGUUUCUUAGUUAGGGUUAGCAAUUUUGCAAUCAUCACCCUGGACAUCUAUUUUGAUAAACAAAGGUGCAAUUCUAUGACCAGAAUGAUCUAAAGACCUUUUAAAAAAUAUCGAUUUUUCUUUCUUUCUUUUUUUUUCCCCCUCUUGCUUUUGCUAUUGAAUCUAGCGGCUACACAGAGAGAGAGAGUGCCAACGAUAAAUGUUUCUUGCAACAAGAAAAAGUGUUUCCAGCGCAAAUUUCAGAGUAUUGAACUCUGCAAGCGGUAUCAGUGCUCUCCUGUGUGUGUGAACCGUGCCUCCGGGCCAGAGAGCUGAGGUGCGCUGGAUCAGAUUCUUACACAAACAUGGCCGCAGAGACGGCAUGUUCUCGUGGCAUUAGUAUUUCAAAUGUUUUUUUUUUUUGUUUGUUUUUUCGAGACGAACGUGAAUGCGACUAUUUUUGUCUCAUAACGCGCGCUCUCAGAUAGCCCCUUUUGAAUAAAUGAAUUCUGACAAGGGGAAUCUGCAUACAAAAACACAGCAGGUUUUAAGGCAGCGGCUGGUCGACCAUCGAAGACCUCUGAAGUCCUCCCUGAAUCUCUUCAUUCAUCGCCUGCUCCUUGCGGGCCCGCGGCUCUUUAAAUGGCCGCCUGUGUUUGUGCCGUGUUCACACUGGUGGUUAGAGAGGCAGCGAGGCAUACACCAACACAUUAAGUCCUCUGUGUUUGUGGUUGGCACCUGCAAAUCCUUUUGCUUGCCUUAAUGUCAUGCAGAAAUGUGUUGAAUUUAAAAUGUGAUCUUAAAUGGAACCUUGAGUGUGAUUCUGCAAAGAAAAUAAGAAAAAGCAGCAUACUUGUUUUUGCCUUCAGGCAGGCACAAAUUUAUUGGUCUUUGUGCCAGAAAUUCAGACACCUCAGCUGUGAGACCAAACCGUUUCUAAGAGCUCUAAACUUUCUACACUUUUACCUUGCAGGGUUAAAGACUAUUUGAUUUGUGUUUUGUUUUACUGUCUAGUGCCAGCCUUUCUCAAUGUGCUGAGUUAACCCAAAAACUGGGUUAGAGUGACCAGUGUGUCACACUGAGGCAGCCAAAGAGUGGCCUAAAAAAUGACAAUGAUCCAAACUACAAAAAAAUGACACAUAUAUAUGUUAUGUGUUACAUUUCUUUCAAUUACUUUCAAUUAUUAAGUAAAGACAACAAAACUGUCUAAUUUGUAAUGACGCCGUUGUUGACAAAUUUAAUAUAAAUAGUAAAAUUCCUAUUUAACAUCCCAUUGUAUGAAAUUAGUAAGAGUCAUUUUCUUGUUCUCUUUUGUUAAAACUCCAAGAUCACAUGUUGAAAUUAGCACGGCUAAAACCAGGAAUAAAGCUGUAACACAGGUAGCAAGAGAAAUAUGUGUGAAGAAGUUUCUUAGGCAGACUGGAUUGACUGCAUGACCAGUUUGGUCAACGUGAAUGUUCAACACAACAAGCACAAGCUUAUUUUAGCUACUCUCCUGGUCAAACAUGAAGGUCGUCUAGAGUAAAACACCCUGACAGUUGCCUUAUUUUACCCUCUAAUCAUUUCCUGUUUCACUGUGUGUGGAAGAACACUGAAAUCUGAUCAGGCUGUGCAGCCAGGUUGGUUUUGAUGGUUCUUUUUCUCCAAAUGAAGGAAAUCUUAAUUUGAAAACUGUGUUUUAUAUUUACUCAGGAUGCAGUUGUCUGAUAUUAAAAUAUUUUUGAUAAUGUAAAACAUUUGAGUGUGACAAAAAAAAAAGUCCUGUCAUGACGUUUUUGUUACUUUGAUCACUUAGUUUUGUACAGUGUCUGUAUUGGGGUGAACAGCAUAAACUUUAGAUUGUGCUGC